GGCUGUAGUCACUCCCUGAGAGAAGGGAUUACACUCUGCAGAGGCAGGGAGCAGUGGACAGCUCAAGGAAGUGGAUAAGAGUGGAAACACUAAGGACUGAAACGCAUGAGUGAGUGAGCCCAGAGCACCCAAAACUCUUCCACAGUAAAAACUUUCCCAGUAACACUCAGCACCUUCCUCAGGUCGGACCAUGGAGACCCGUCAACAAGAAUGCAUUGGAGAGACAACUUGCCCAUUGCUCUACAAGUAUUUUCCUCUCCUCCACGUUAAACUUGAACAAGCAUUCCUCACUCGGUAACAGCUGAAAAAGAGUUCCAAGUAUCCACGAAUGAAGAGUCUGAUGUGAUGCGUCCUGAAAAAAAGGCGUUUACAAAACAGGACGGUGGCCACCCGGUGAAAAGCAGCUGAAAUUUCUCUGCAGUCUAUGGGCAAGAGAGAUGUUUUGGUCAAGAGUUCCUAAUAGAGUCUCUCUCUGAAAACUGGCAGCUGAAAUGACACUAUAAUGAUGCUGCUACUGCUUCCAACUAUGAACUAUAAUAUGUUAAAUAUUUUGGGGCACCUUUACAAGCUUUUAUUUAUUUAUUCCAAAAAUAAAGUUGGGUAAAGAGUGGUGACCCAGCUGCAAAAAUAA